rnacentral:rRNA from 1 species
AUUGAACGCUGGCGGCAUGCUUUACACAUGCAAGUCGAACGGCAGCGCGGGCUUCGGCCUGGCGGCGAGUGGCGCACGGGUGAGUAAUGCAUCGGAACGUGCCCAGUAGUGGGGGGUAGCCCGGCGAAAGCCGGAUUAAUACCGCAUACGACCUGAUGGUGAAAGCGGGGGACCGAAAGACCUCGCGCUCUUGUAGCGGCCGAUGUCGGGUUAGCUAGUUGGUGGGGUGAAGGCUUACCAAGGCGGCGAUCCGUAGCUGGCCUGAGAGGACGACCAGCCACAUUGGGACUGAGACACGGACCAGACGCCUACGGGAGGCAGCAGUGGGGAAUGUUGGACAAUGGGGGCAAACCUGAUCCAGCCAUGCCGCGUGCGGGAAGAAGGCCUUCGGGUUGUAAACCGCUUUUGUUCGGGAAGAAAUCCUCUGGGCUAAUACCCCGGGGGGAUGACGGUACCGGAAGAAUAAGCACCGGCUAACUACGUG